UACGUAGGGGGCAAGCGUUAUCCGGAUUUACUGGGUGUAAAGGGAGCGUAGGCGGUGCAGCAAGUCAGAAGUGAAAGCCCGGGGCUCAACUCCGGGACUGCUUUUGAAACUGUUGAACUAGAUUGCAGGAGAGGUAAGUGGAAUUCCAUGUGUAGCGGUGAAAUGCGUAGAUAUAUGGAGGAACACCGGUGGCGAAAGCGGCUCUCUGGCCUGUAACUGACACUGAGGCUCGAAAGCGUGGGGAGCAAACAAG
rnacentral:rRNA from 1 species